GUAGCUGCAACACAGUGAGAGAGCAUUUUAGUGAUUGGUUUACAACGUCUAUGGUCAAGGAAGACUAAAUUCAAUACCUGAUAAUCUGGUUUAGUGUAGUAUUCCAGGUUGGAGAUAUGGUCGAGAAAAACACUAAACUCAUUUGGGAGGUGUUUGAGCAUGAGGCGAUGGUUGUAUGACUGCUUCAUAUUUCCGACCUGUUCCUGUAUUGAUGGCAGGACUGAGAACACCAGCAUAUCUCUUAUCCAAGGAAAAUUAUGAUCGGACCAGAACUUACUUUGUCUUUGAUUUUUCUCCAGGGUAGCUGACCCACCAUGAACUCAACAAGCAUAUAAAAUAAAGACCACAGGUCAUCAUGUCGACCCAUUUCCUUUAAAAAAAAGAAGAAGAAGAAGAAGAAGGAUGUGCAUUUUAGAAAAAUAUUAGAAGCCCACAGAGUGGAUGCUCUCGAUGGCCUCUAAGAUUUGUCUGCCCAGCCUGAGUGAGGUGGAAAAGCUGAAGGUGCCACAGCUCAUGUUGCGUCGAAGGUCUGCCAAGUUUUUUCCCUGCAGUUCAAUGCACAAGCAUAUGAGUUGUGUGAUAACGUCCAUUAAUUCAGAACAUGAAUAAAUCAUUUGAUGCCCCACCUGAAGCUCCAUAACCACAUAGUUGAAGUGGUCAUUGCGCCCACAGCCAACAAAACGACAAACAUGGUCUUUUCCUAUGAAAUGGGUCAAGGUAAAAAUGGUAUACAGUGUGUCAUACAAAUCCAUAUUUAUUUUUAAGUAAUAUUUCACUUGUGUUUAGUUAUGUAUGAUUGCCCAUAAUAGAGUAGCACACACAUUGUAAAGUGACUCCUCAAAUAGUGUUUUCAUGCUUGUUUUAUAUAAAUUAAAUAAAAAAAUAAAAAAUCAGAA